rnacentral:rRNA from 1 species
CAUGUUCUCUUCGGAGCACUGGAGACAGGUGGUGCAUGGUUGUCGUCAGCUCGUGUCGUGAGAUGUUGGGUUAAGUCCCGCAACGAGCGCAACCCUUAUCCUUAGUAGCCAGCAGGGAAAGCUGGGCACUCUAGGGAGACUGCCAGGGAUAACCUGGAGGAAGGUGGGGAUGACGUCAAAUCAUCAUGCCCCUUAUGAUUUGGGCUACACACGUGCUACAAUGGCGUAAACAAAGGGAAGCGAAGUGGCGACAUGGAGCGAACCCCAAAAAUAACGUCUCAGUUCGGAUUGCAGGCUGCAACCCGCCUGCAUGAAGCCGGAAUCGCUAGUAAUCGCAGAUCAGAAUGCUGCGGUGAAUACGUUCCCGGGUCUUGUACACACCGCCCGUCACACCAUGGGAGUCGAUAACGCCCGAAGUCAGUGACCCAACCGAAAGGAGGGAGCUGCCGAAGGCGGGAUGGAUAACUGGGGUGAAGUCGUAACAAGGUAGCCGUAUCGGAAGGU